rnacentral:lncRNA from 1 species
UCCCUGCGGGUGCCAAGACCUCCAUAUGAUGUAUUUCAAUCCACACCAUCCUCAGGAGUGUUUUUGUCCUUUGCGAGCAAGAGUUUUUCAUGAUACAGCAUCUUCAAGCUGCAGAAAUUCAAUCCAGAAUGAAGCAAGCAAGCCAUCUCCCCUGAUAUCAUACGUGACAAUCAAGAUAUCUUGAUCAAGCAGAAAUCCCCAGCAAGAUUAUGACAUGUACCAGAUGGCCUCUUAACCUCGUUAGGCCUUCACCUAAGAAGGCAAUACUCAAUUUGCACUAUCCGAUCCUCGGAUUCCAAAUUAUGAAAGCGUCUCAUGAGCAAAAUAUUCUCUGAAAGUCAUCGAAUCCCUCGAUUCCUAUCAUCCUUCUUCCUCAACAAUCUCUGGGUCAGCCUUAGGACAGCCCAGCGAAGGACCCAUUUAAGAAGAUAGAAGCAGGGUUCCUCUCUAAAGUGUGAAGAACAAUAGAUAACACCACUGUUUUGUCAAAUUUUAUGAUACAUCUGAUUAUCACGUGCUGGCUCCUGAUGAAUAGAAACACAGAGGAAAAGAGAGCUGCGACACUUAGCACUUUCCAUCUUUCUUCGCAAGAAAUGCAGCAAUCUCAACUGCGUCACAGGGAUCAGUGAGGCUAAAGGCAGGCAAAUAUACUAUGGAAGAUAAGGAUCAAAAGACAGAAAAGAAAAACGGCAGAAAAGAGAAAGAAAAGGCCAGGCGGAACAGACACUUACCAGGAAAAAUCCCAUUGAGAGCAACCUUCUGCAUCAGAGAUCGUUUGAUCCAUCUUUUUUUACGCUCCAAAGAAUUAAACCUCUCAAGCUCACCCUACAACACGAGAAAAAUUAAUGUCAUACAAUCCAUGAUUGAAUGCAAGAACGAGAUAAAGAAAUCCAAA